rnacentral:misc_RNA from 2 species
AGCAGCCGCGGUAAUUCCAGCUCCAAUAGCGUAUAUUAAAGUUGUUGCAGUUAAAAAGCUCGUAGUUGAAUUUCGGGAUCAAAGAAUCGGUCAUGCCUUGGUAUGUACUGGUUUUAUUGGUUCUCACCUUCUAAAGAACCAUGAUGUCAUUCAUUUGAUGUUAUGGGGAAUUAGGACUGUUACCUUGAAAAAAUUAGAGUGUUUAAAGCAAGCUUACGCUUGAAUACAUUAGCAUGGAAUAAUGAAAUAGGACAUCAGAUUCUAUUUUGUUGGUUUCUAGGAUCGAUGUAAUGAUUAAUAGGGAUAGUUGGGGGCAUUAGUAUUCAAUUGUCAGAGGUGAAAUUCUUGGAUUUAUUGAAGACUAACUACUGCGAAAGCAUUUGCCAAGGAUGUUUUCAUUAAUCAAGAACGAAAGUUAGGGGAUCGAAGACGAUCAGAUACCGUCGUAGUCUUAACCAUAAACUAUGCCGACUAGGAAUCAGACGAUGUUAAUUUUUUAAUGACUCGUUUGGCACCUUAC